rnacentral:lncRNA from 1 species
AACCAACUAGGGAAUCUUUUUUUUCUUAUUCACUUAGCUCUCUUUUUCUUUUCUUUUCCCCACUCUUUUCAUGUUUCUUUUCUUUUGGUUCUAAAGGGGAUUUUACUCAUAGAUUCUAGAGCUUCUCUCUUCUUUUUUUUUAAAUUUAUAUCCCUACUGGUUUUUUUUUUCAACCCUUUUGGUUCACUUCUUUCACUUUUCUCUCACAC